UAGGAGGAGGGGAACAUUUGC
rnacentral:miRNA from 1 species